rnacentral:rRNA from 1 species
GGGCUGUCAGGCUCGUAUGUGUACCUGCGGAAGGGUCAUUACAGAGUUCAUGCCCGAAAGGGUAGACCUCCCACCCUUGUGUAUUAUUACUUUGUUGCUUUGGCGAGCUGCCUUCGGGCCUUGUAUGCUCGCCAGAGAAUACCAAAACUCUUUUUAUUAAUGUCGUCUGAGUACUAUAUAAUAGUUAAAACUUUCAACAACGGAUCUCUUGGUUCUGGCAUCGAUGAAGAACGCAGCGAAAUGCGAUAAGUAAUGUGAAUUGCAGAAUUCAGUGAAUCAUCGAAUCUUUGAACGCACAUUGCGCCCCUUGGUAUUCCGGGGGGCAUGCCUGUUCGAGCGUCAUUUCAACCCUCAAGCUUAGCUUGGUAUUGAGUCUAUGUCAGUAAUGGCAGGCUCUAAAAUCAGUGGCGGCGCCGCUGGGUCCUGAACGUAGUAAUAUCUCUCGUUACAGGUUCUCGGUGUGCUUCUGCCAAAACCCAAAUUUUUCUAUGGUUGACCUCGGAUCAGGUAGGGAUACCCGCUGAACUUAAGCAUAUCAAUAAGCGGAGGAA